rnacentral:rRNA from 1 species
AGAGUUUGAUCCUGGCUCAGAGCGAACGCUGGCGGCGUGCUUAACACAUGCAAGUCGAGUGCGCGUUUCCGUAGCAAUACGGAGAUGGCGCACGGCGCACGGGUGCGUAACACGUGGGUAAUCUGCCCUCUGAUGGGGAAUAACCCGCCGAAAGGCGGGCUAAUACCGCAUAACAUUCCUUGGACUCCGGUCCGAGGAUUCAAAGGCGUAAGUCGUCGGAGGUGGAGCCCGCGCACGAUUAGCUAGUUGGUAGGGUAAUGGCCUACCAAGGCUAUGAUCGUUAGCUGGUCUGAGAGGAUGGCCAGCCACACUGGAACUGAGACACGGUCCAGACUCCUACGGGAGGCAGCAGUGGGGAAUCUUGCACAAUGGGCGAAAGCCUGAUGCAGCGACGCCGCGUGGGGGAUGAAGCUUCUCGGAGUGUAAACCCCUUUCGACCGGGACGAAUACCUCGCAAGAGGGGUGACGGUACCGGUAUAAGAAGCCCCGGCUAACUACGUGCCAGCAGCCGCGGUAAGACGUAGGGGGCCAGCGUUGCUCGGAAUUACUGGGUGUNAAAGGGUUCGUAGGCGGUGUGGCAAGUCCGGGAGUGAAAUCUCUGGGCUUAACCCANGGGCUGCUUCUGAAACUGCCGUGCUAAANUGUGG